rnacentral:rRNA from 1 species
GAUGAACGCUGGCGGCGUGCCUAAUACAUGCAAGUCGAGCGAACGGACGAGAAGCUUGCUUUUCUGAUGUUAGCGGCGGACGGGUGAGUAACACGUGGAUAACCUACCUAUAAGACUGGGAUAACUUCGGGAAACCGGAGCUAAUACCGGAUAAUAUUUUGAACCGCAUGGUUCAAAAGUGAAAGACGGUCUUGCUGUCACUUAUAGAUGGAUCCGCGCUGCAUUAGCUAGUUGGUAAGGUAACGGCUUACCAAGGCAACGAUGCAUAGCCGACCUGAGAGGGUGAUCGGCCCCACUUGAACUGAGACACGGUCCAGACUCCUACGGGAGGCAGCAGUAGGGAAUCUUCCGCAAUGGGCGAAAGCCUGACGGAGCAACGCCGCGUGAGUGAUGAAGGUCUUCGGAUCGUAAAACUCUGUUAUUAGGGAAGAACAUAUGUGUAAGUAACUGUGCACAUCUUGACGGUACCUAAUCAGAAAGCCACGGCUAACUACGUG